rnacentral:rRNA from 1 species
ACUUCGGUUUUGGUGGUUAGUGGCGAACGGGUGAGUAACACGUGAGUAACCUGCCCUUCACUGUGGGAUAACGAGAAGAAAUUCUUGCUAAUACCGCAUAUGACGCGUCUCCGCAUGGGGGUGUGUGGAAAGUUUUUUCGGUGGGGGAUGGACUCGCGGCCUAUCAGCUUGUUGGUGGGGUAAUGGCUCACCAAGGCUUUGACGGGUAGCCGGCCUGAGAGGGCGACCGGCCACACUGGGACUGAGAUACGGCCCAGACUCCUACGGGAGGCAGCAGUGGGGAAUAUUGCACAAUGGACGAAAGUCUGAUGCAGCAACGCCGCGUGCGGGAUGACGGCCUUCGGGUUGUAAACCGCUUUCACCAGGGGCGAAUUUGACGGUACCUGGAGAAGAAGCACCGGCUAACUACGUGCCAGCAGCCGCGGUGAUACGUAGGGUGCGAGCGUUGUCCGGAUUUAUUGGGCGUAAAGAGCUCGUAGGUGGUUUGUUGCGUCGGGAGUGAAAACACACAGCUCAACUGUGUGCUUGCUUUCGAUACGGGCAGACUUGAGGGAUGUAGGGGAGAACGGAAUUCCUGGUGGAGCGGUGGAAUGCGCAGAUAUCAGGAGGAACACCGGUGGCGAAGGCGGUUCUCUGGACAUUUCCUGACGCUGAGGAGCGAAAGCGUGGGGAGCAAACAGGCUUAGAUACCCUGGUAGUCCACGCCGUAAACGGUGGGCACUAGGUGUGGGGGACAUUCCACGUUCUCCGUGCCGUAGCUAACGCAUUAAGUGCCCCGCCUGGGGAGUACGGCCGCAAGGCUAAAACUCAAAGGAAUUGACGGGGGCCCGCA